CAUGUGUUCAAGUACCGGCAGCAGAAAGCACUGCCCGAUCCUUAAUCACUGCUUACUGAUUUAGGUCCGUUUUAUUAGCAGGCAGUCCUUUUCCAGAAAGCCAUUUUCCUGGCAGGGAGCACAGGGCGUAUGCGGGGGCCGAGGGCCGCGUGUGUCCCCCCCCACACCCAACAUCUGCACCCUCUGCCUCUGGCCAGCCCGGGAAGGCAGCGGGAGUUUUAGUGCCGGAGUUUUGUCUGAAAAUACUCAUCUCUGGUGCCUCUAAUCCAAGUACCAAUCAAGCAACUCAGCUUUCCCACCCGGCCAGCCCGGCUUGGAGACCCUCGGAGAUGUAUCCCAGCCAACCAAGAGGCAGGGAGUUUUAUGCCUAUGUAAUCAGUGCAGACAGCCGUUAAGUAAAUGAAGAGGCAACUAACAAUGUCAGAAAAGAGACCGGGCGGUUCCAGCUGACACUACCCUAAUCUUCCAGGACCCAUUAAAUGGCAGUUUCAACGCAUUACCUACCAUAACAUCCUUGAAUAUCACUGAUUUUAUUUGCAGUAUCAAACAUUCCAUUUCAUGCCCCAUUAACAGUAGGAGCCUGGGCUUUUUGACGCAGCUAAACAUUUUACUAACUACCUGGACUAAGUAACCAAUUAACUUUUGGAGACAAUACGGCCAAUUAAGCGCGAAAAGGUCUGGAUUUUGACUGAAGCCUGUUUGAUGUGUGGUUGGUUUUAAUCCAUUGCCAAAAUUAUAAUUUUGAUGGCUAUAACCCAAAUGAAGGAGGAGAAAACACACAAGGAAUUUGCCAUCUCUUAAGGGAUUUGCUGGACAUGAUUCUUCGCCGGCCGAUGUACAUAAAGUACCUGCCUAAGCACAACUUCAGCUUGGGAAGACAGAUGAAAUAACAGAAAGGAUUCCAACAGAUUUAACAGAGUCUCCAGCAAAACCACAAGAAUUGUUUUAUCCAUAGCAGAGACGUAGCUGAUCCAGAAACAGAACUCGCCCGUAUUUACCAGCAGCAAUAAGAAAGGACUUGGAGGUGCAGGCGGGAACACAACUGAGUUAUAGAGGAAAGCAUAAGCUGGUGCUCUGCAAUGGCCGUUCUGUCCAGCACAACUUGUAAGUCACACUGUGCCUCUGAGUCUAUCCCAGGGAAUAAGGGGGAAAGGAGAAGGUGACCAGGAAAAACACCCAACACACAAUUACACAAGGUUUUCAGACUUUCCUGGAUUUUGUUAUGAACCACGUGUGAAGCGAGGACUUGCAGACAGAGCUGCCUCAUCAAAACUAACACUGCAUCCCUCAGAAAAGCUGUCACAGCUGCCCAGCCUAACCUAGGGGAAGACUAAUGCAAUUAUGUCAAGGUAUACUGAGGAACCCUCAGUGCUAUAAAUAAUAAUAAAGGGUAAAUAAUAAAAAAAUAAAACAGAAACCCCAGAAGUGAGAUGUUUUAAAUGAAAGGUGAUGCACUGUGAACUUAACACACUGGCCCUUUAGCCUUUCUGUUAACAAGGUAAUCUGAUUGCCAUUGAUUUUUUUCACCUUUGUUACUAAGAAGGUGAUGGAAUGG